rnacentral:rRNA from 1 species
GUGCCAGCAGCCGCGGUAAUACGAAGGGUCCGAGCGUUGCGCGGAAUCAUUGGGCUUAAAGCGUGCNUAGGCGGAACCGCAAGUACCUUGUGAAAGCCCCCGGCUCAACCGGGGAAUUGCUCGGUAGACUGCGGUUCUUGAGCCCGGUAGGGGCGGCCGGAACGAUAGGUGUAGCGGUGAAAUGCGUAGAUAUCUAUCGGAACGCCGAAGGUGAAGACAGGCCGCUGGGCCGGUGCUGACGCUGAGGCACGAAAGCGUGGGGAGCGAACGGGAUUAGAUACCCCGGUAGUCCACGCCCUAAACGAUGCGCACUAGGUCCCGGAAUCUCUGACGAUCUCGGGGCCGAAAAGAAAUCGAUAAGUGCGCCGCCUGGGGAGUACGGUCGCAAGAUUAAAACUCAAAGGAAUUGACGG